UACGUAGGGGGCUAGCGUUGUCCGGAAUCAUUGGGCGUAAAGAGCGCGUAGGCGGCUGGAAUAGUCCGGUGUGAAAUCCACAGGCUUAACCUGUGAAUGCCGCUGGAAACUGUCUGGCUAGAGUCCGGAAGGGGCGAGUGGAAUUCCUGGUGUAGCGGUGAAAUGCGUAGAUAUCAAGAGGAACACCUGAGGUGAAGACGGGUUGCUGGGCCGACACUGACGCUGGAGCGCGAAAGCCAGGGGAGCAAACGGG
rnacentral:rRNA from 1 species